rnacentral:tRNA from 1 species
GCCGAGGUAGCUCAGUUGGUAGAGCGUCCGCCUGAAGAGCGGUAGGUCCCCGGUUCGAACCCGGGCCUCGGCACCA